AAUUAGGCAACUGCGUGACGCGAUAGGGAUAGUAGCGAAUAUCCUUUUGCGAGGUGGCUGAGCGCAGCGAAGUCCACCUCGCAAAAGAUAGCAGCGGAUAGCCCGACCCGAA
rnacentral:sRNA from 1 species